rnacentral:rRNA from 1 species
UACGGAGGGUGCAAGCGUUAUCCGGAUUCACUGGGUUUAAAGGGAGCGUAGGUGGGCUGGUAAGUCAGUGGUGAAAUCCCCGAGCUUAACUUGGGAACUGCCAUUGAUACUGUCAGUCUUGAAUACUGUGGAGGCUAGCGGAAUAUGUCAUGUAGCGGUGAAAUGCUUAGAUAUGACAUAGAACACCAAUUGCGAAGGCAGCUGGCUACACAAAUAUUGACACUGAGGCUUGAAAGCGUGGGGAUCAAACAGG